rnacentral:rRNA from 1 species
AUUGAACGCUGGCGGCAGGCCUAACACAUGCAAGUCGAACGAGUGGCGGACGGGUGAGUAAUGUGGGGGAAACUGCCCGAGGGAGGGGGAAAACUACGGGAAACGGUAUCUAAUAGCGCUAACCAUCGUAUAUGCCCAGAGGGGUUUAGCUAGUAGGUGGGGUUACGGCGCACCUAGGCGACGAUCCCUAGCUGGUCUGAGAGGAUGACCAGCCACACUGGAACUGAGACACGAUCCAGACUCCUACGUGAGGCAGCAGUGGGGAAUAUUGCACAAUGGGCGCAAGCCUGAUGCAGCCAUGCCGCGUGUAUGAAGAAGGCCUUCGGGUUGUAAAGUACUUUCAGCGAGGAGGCGUUACUCGCAGAAGAAGCACCGGCUAACUCCGUGCCAGCCGCCGCGGUAAUUC